CCUACGGGAGGCAGCAGUGGGGAAUUUUGCGCAAUGGGCGAAAGCCUGACGCAGCAACGCCGCGUGGAGGAUGAAGGUUCUCUGAAUCGUAAACUCCUGUCGGCCGGGAAGAAUUGACGGAGCGCUAAUCAGCUCCGGCUUGACUGUACCGGCAAAGGAAGCCCCGGCUAACUCCGUGCCAGCAGCCGCGGUAAUACGGAGGGGGCAAGCGUUACUCGGAAUUAUUGGGCGUAAAGGGCGCGUAGGCGGUCCUGCGCGUCGGAGGUGAAAUCCCCGGGCU
rnacentral:rRNA from 1 species